rnacentral:rRNA from 1 species
GGAUUCCCCUAGUAACGGCGAGUGAACCGGGAAGAGCUCAAAUUUGAAAUCUGGCGUCCUCAGGGCGUCCGAGUUGUAAUCUAUAGAGGCGUUUUCCGUGCCGGACCGUGUCCAAGUUCCUUGGAACAGGAUAUCAAAGAGGGUGACAAUCCCGUACUUGACACGACGACCGGUGCUCUGUGAUACGUCUUCUACGAGUCGAGUUGUUUGGGAAUGCAGCUCAAAAUGGGUGGUGAGUUCCAUCUAAAGCUAAAUAUUGGCGAGAGACCGAUAGCGAACAAGUACCGUGAGGGAAAGAUGAAAAGCACUUUGGAAAGAGAGUUAAACAGUACGUGAAAUUGUUGAAAGGGAAACGAUUGAAGUCAGUCGUGACCGAGAGGCUCAGCCGGCUCUGCCGGUGUAUUCCCCUCGGUCGGGUCAACAUCAGUUUUGUCCGGUGGAUAAGGGCGGUAGGAAGGUGGCACCCUCGGGUGUGUUAUAGCCUGCCGUCGCAUACAUCGGGUGAGACUGAGGAACGCAGCUCGCCUUUAUGGCCGGGGUUCGCCCACGUCCGAGCUUAGGAUGUUGACAUAAUGGCUUUAAACGACCCGUCUUGAA